UACACAGCAUCAUGUGCAGCCUCUUCC
rnacentral:piRNA from 1 species